UACAGAGGUCUCAAGCGUUGUUCGGAUUCAUUGGGCGUAAAGGGUGCGUAGGUGGCGGUGUAAGUCAGGUGUGAAAUCUCGGGGCUCAACCCCGAAACUGCACUUGAUACUGCCUUGCUCGAGUACUGGAGAGGAGAUUGGAAUUUACGGUGUAGCAGUGAAAUGCGUAGAUAUCGUAAGGAAGACCAGUGGCGAAGGCGAAUCUCUGGACAGUUACUGACACUGAGGCACGAAGGCCAGGGGAGCAAACAGG
rnacentral:rRNA from 1 species